rnacentral:lncRNA from 1 species
GUCUAUAUGCUUCACCAAACUGCUAAAGUAAUCUGUGAUAUAAACCUGGCAAUGAAAUCUCUAAAUCAAAGGGUACUGACAUUUUAGUCAUUUUAUUUGCACAAUUCCAAAUAGCUUCCCCAAAUGACUAUACUCAUUCAUAACUCUACCAAAUAAUGCACUAGUGUUCCUAUCUUUCCACAACCCUUCCAAUAUUGACUAUCCCUAUCUUUUAUCAUUUUUAUCAGUUUUCAGUGUAUAAUAACCAAGAGUGUUGUUGAUAGAACUGUGAACAAGCCCAAUAAUUCUGGAAAGUUGUGAAGAGUAAAUCAAACUUUCUUUGUCUAUCAACCAGCAACUUUUAAAUUAAUCAAUCAAAAACUUAAGCACCCCUACUUAACAUUAAGUAAGAGAAUUCAAGAGUCACUUGCUAGAGUGGGUGAAAACUCCUGAGGCCACUGCCCUGCCCCUAGGCAGUGCUAGCUAAAUUGAAAGACUGUUAUUGGUUCCCCUAAAUUGGGGAAGGGACAGGAAGUGACAUGGAGAAAGGACCUCAAAAAGUCCUGAACUUCCUGUCCAACAGACUUUGCCUUUUGGACUUGGCUUUUGGACGUCUUUGGAAGUGGCUUCUUGGGAUUUCGUGUUGGUGAGCUGGACUGAAGAAGGAGACUCUUUCCCUGGAUUCUGUGUCAGCUUGCUGGGUUGUAACUCUCUCUGUGACCAUCAUUCCCCUCUAUAUACUGUAUCCCACAACGGAAUGUAAGUUUCUUUAGGUGAGGAACUCUCUUGAUCUUGUGUUUGUAUCUCCAGGGUUUAUCACUGUACUUGGCAUAAGUUAAGUGCUUAAUAAAUGUUUACAUUCAUUCA